rnacentral:rRNA from 1 species
GAUGAACGCUAGCGAUAGGCCUAACACAUGCAAGUCGAGGGGCAUCACAUGAAGUAGCAAUACGGAUGGUGGCGACCGGCGCACGGGUGAGUAACACGUAUGCAACCUGCCUUCAACAAGGGGAUAACCCGUUGAAAGACGGACUAAUACCCUAUAACACAGGGGUCCCGCAUGGGAAUAUUUGUUAAAGGACAACCGGUUGAAGAUGGGCAUGCGUUCCAUUAGCUAGUUGGCGGGGUAACGGCCCACCAAGGCAACGAUGGAUAGGGGAACUGAGAGGUUUAUCCCCCACACUGGUACUGAGACACGGACCAGACUCCUACGGGAGGCAGCAGUGAGGAAUAUUGGUCAAUGGACGCAAGUCUGAACCAGCCACGUCGCGUGAAGGAAGACGGCCCUACGGGUUGUAAACUUCUUUUGUAAGGGAAGAAAGGUUCUGGCUAAUACCCGGAACUGAUGACGGUACCUGAAGAAUAAGCACCGGCUAACUACGUG